ACUGCUUUUCUUUGAUGUCCCCAAUUUGUGGAGCCCAUCAACCCCGCCUCUUUUUGGUUCAAGGUUGAUGGGUUUUUUAUU
rnacentral:sRNA from 1 species